CUCUUUAGCAUUCACAUUAUUUUGCCAAAAUUAAUGCCUUUUUAUUCACAUUGUUUUGAAUUAAUCAUGCAUUAUGUUGUAGCUUUGAGAUUUUGAUGAGGCAACUGUUAAUUCUUAGAAUGAUAUUAUAGGGUUGGUGUGAGGAACCAGAUCUGGCCAGUUUUAACAUAAAACUGGCAGGAUACUUUGACCAGAUAUGGCUGGUUUAAAUGCUAAAGGGUUGAAAACUAAAUAUAA